rnacentral:rRNA from 1 species
GACGAAGGGGGCUAGCGUUGUUCGGAAUUACUGGGCGUAAAGCGAGUGUAGGCGGUUCGUCACGUCGGGAGUGAAAACUCGGGGCUUAACCCCGAGCCUGCUUCCGAUACGGGCAGACUAGAGGUAGGCAGGGGAGAGCGGAACUCCUGGUGUAGCGGUGGAAUGCGCAGAUAUCAGGAAGAACACCGGUGGCGAAGGCGGCUCUCUGGGCCUUACCUGACGCUGAGGAGCGAAAGCGUGGGUAGCGAACAGG